ACACUUAGGAAUAGGUGAAAUUCUUUCGCUUUCAGUCACUAGAUCAUGAUUGUGGCCAAAAGAAACUGUAGAAGAUGAGAACUGUUAGGGAUCAAAGAACACUGGAGUCUAAAAUAUAUAAGGUGGACCUGAAGGCCUAAGGGACAUUUCAUGCCUCCUUCCAAGUUUUUACUGACCAUGUUGACUGAAUGAGAUGUGGCCACCCCAGCCACCCACUUCCAAAGCCCUCUCUUCUCUGUAUCUUCCCUACCCAGAUGCUCCAACUGAGUUGCCAAGAGCUGAGGAUAUAUCACUUGCCUAGGCCUUCAUAUUUCAUCUCCAUGUAUUUUUAUUUUUUUGCUUUUUAGGGCCUCACCCACAGCAUAAGGAAGUUCCCAGGCUAGGGGUCGAAUUAGAGCUGCAGCUGCCAAUGUACACCACAGCCACAGCAACCCAGGAUCUGAGCCAUGGCUGCGACCUACACCGCAGCUCAUGGCAACACCAAAUCCCCAACCCACUGAGCAAGGCCAGGAAUUGAACCCACAUCCUCAUGGAUACUAGUCGGGUUUGUUUCUGCUGCGCCACCACAGAAACUCCUCCAUGUAUUUUCAUAAAAUUUAUCUAUCAUAAGAAUCCUGAUAAAUAGCCAAAAGCCAGGAUGUCUAGAGAAACCAGAGAUGGAAAUUGGUAUCAAGAUUUAUAGACUGUCUAAUACUUCAUUAGCUAGGGGCCAUUUCAGGUAUAAAACAUCCCCUAGGUUUUAAAACAAAUGUCCUCCCCCUCCCCCUACUCCCCCAAAUUAAAACGUAAGAGUAGAAGCAGAGGAACAAUCUCUGUAUUCACCUAAUAUUUUUCAACUAUUGAGCCCUGAACUUAAAAUAUAGAAAAAGGGUCAUAUAUUAUUAUGUGAAAACAGCAAUGGCAACCUUUGCCUUGGCACUGGUGAGGCUCCUCCUUGACCAGCUGAUAUUAAAGGUAACUUGUUGGUUACAUUAUCGCAUCAUCCUCUCAGUCCACACCAAUCCAAUCCCAGUGGCCAGAUCAGAGCUUCCCUGGCAGGGAAGAGUUGGCCUCCAUACUUCAGACUAAGUCUAACAGAGAGGAGAGGAGAGGAGGGUGGAGCAGAGCAUUCCUGAUGGAUGCCUGAGAGGUCCUCCCCUCUGCUGACAAACCAAGUUCACCAAAAACCAAAGGAGAUGUUAAUGAGAGUAUUAGAGCAUGCCAAGAAAAAGAAAAAGAAAAAAAGGCUAUAUAGUUAAUCUCUGAAAAAGCAAGAAGGACUAAGAGACCAUCUGGGGGGAAAAAUGAGAAGGACUGGUUGCCUGGAGAGGAAAUGGAUCAGGACCAGCUUGGGAUAGAAACAUUAAGACCUGCAAAUGUCUCUCUUCCCUGGGAAGGCUCACCUGAUGCUGCUUCCAUCCACCACACAAAUCUUCGGGUUUUUUAGAAACAGGUAACCAUGAGUGAAGAUAUGAUAUGCAAUUUGGAAUUUGCUGCACAGAUGUAUUCAAAAUGCAUGGGCUACUGAAACCCCUUUUAAAAGUGAUCUGAGAAGGGAUGCAGGCUGAUUCCUUUGCUUUGGAAGGAAAUGAAGUGUUUCAUAGAACCAUAGGCCUAAGGUCAGAGACUGAUAAAAGAUCUGAAAACUACAGGUGUCCUCUAUAAACACGGUCACCCAGGCCACCUGUUCCGUGGCAUGGAAGGGUCUAUUAUCAGUGAUGCCUCCCUGCAGGGCUCUCCUUGGCCCUGUCAGGUUCAUCGCCAUUGUCCGAAAUAAGCACGUUAAUCGUUUAGUGAGUACAUAGUUCAGACCCAAUCAUUUGAGGAAAAUUCUCUGGAAAUCGCCACCUUCAAGUCAACAACUGCAACAUUUAAACGAUUCCUAGUAAUAUAAGGACAUGAAGACAGCUCCGCCUCCCUUUGCCUCAGUUUAUUCCCUUCUGCAGCUGGGAGAAAAAUGGUACCCACCUCAGGGCAGUGCUGUGAGGAGGUAAUGAGUUAAGACCAGCAGAGCGCUUAGAAAACAAUACAUAGCAUAUAAUAAGGACUCAGAAGCGUGCACACAGGAUGAAUGAAUAAAAGGUCAGCCAUCAAUCUCUCUGCAGCAGCCUUAGAUGCAGAAUUAAUACCCAGUGCACUGCAGGAUGCCUGGCCUGAACACCACCUGGUGGUGAGGGCGGAGCAGAAUCUGAUUCCCCCCUCAUUGCUGCUAACCAGAAUCACACGCGAGAGAAAUUGGAAGCCCUUCUAAAGAGAAAAGAAAGGCCUUCAGUAACAGCUUCAGUCUCACCUCAUAUCCAAAGCCACCUCUCUGAGCCGUUGCAGUCUCAACGACAGUUGAGAAGCAGUUACGAAGCUUAUCAAAGGAUCACUGCCCUGUCAAUCUAGUUCCCGGCUUACCCUCAUUUUAGGUGUGCGCAUGCUCCGUGGCCUCCAAACGCAAUCACGGGAGAGACACCGGAAGUGCCGAGAAGCCUUGCGAGGAUUCACUCACGCUUUCCCUCGUUGCUCCAGGACAGAAUUAGAUGUGUUGGAUUUUGUUAUACCCUUUCUGCUUGAAGGGACCACACAUCAUAAGCCUGCUCCAGGAGGGCAAACCUGAUAGUCAGCAUGUUCAGCCUGGGGAUAGGAUACUUUGAUUUCUUCAGGACUUCUUCCCAGAAUCUGGAGAUGAAGAUGUGACCACUGGACUCCGCGGUGGACGCUACACUGGAAAGGAGAAGAGGACCAAGCUCUGGGAGCUUCCACCACGCAGCCAACUCCCCCAGCUCUUCUGGCAGUUAACGCAUUUGAACUUCAUGACAGCCAAUCAUUAGAGAAACUUUAGAGUUUGAUGCUAACUUCUAUUUCUGCAUUCUUAAGUUUGGCUUUUAGCUAUUAUGCAGAACACGCGUGGUAAAUCUUUUUAAAAACUAUACAGAGACUAAGUCUGAGGGGGAGGCACCUGGGGAAGGGGUUUGUGUUGGUGCCUGCUGACUCAUGGUGGGGGAGACAUGUGUUUGUCCAUUUUACAGACGAAGGAACUGAAUCUCAGAGAGGCUAAAUGACAUCAGUAGAUCACCCAGACACUACGCUUGCAAGCCAGGGGGAUUAAAAAUACUAUCUGACUUUAAAGUUAAAAGCUCUCCCCAGUCGACUCCACUGACUUCCACCCCAAGGGCAUCUGUGGUUCAUGCAGGAACUAAACAAAAGCAAGAACAGAAAGUGAUUACUGGAGCUCCAAUGCAGGGGUUGGUCAAACAGAAGAACGAAGGCCGGAAGCACCUGGCCUGUGGUUAGGUGGUGUUCUGCUGCUCAUUUCUGAAGCAGAGAGAAGAAUUGCUUGAAUUUUUCUUGUGUCUUUUUUGCCCAGUGUGAAGAUCGAUGGAGGCAGGAGAUAGGCUAGCUACACAGUGGCAAGAGGAAAAAGCAAAGCAAGACUUUAGAAGUGAACCUGGGGGUGUUCUCUGUGCUUCUUCCUUCCAAUUGGAGGACACUGUAGUUCAGCAACAAACAAGGGGAACUCGGAAACUAGGCAAGCAAAAACCCCAAAGCAGAGUCCACAAGAGUCCUGGAGAAGUCUCAGAUGACUCUGGCCAGGUCAGAGAUGGGAGUGUAAACCCCCAAAUCAGGCAGCCUUGGAUGAGGAGCCCUGGCAAGGGAGCCUCUUGCUUCCCAGAGGUAGAGAGUGAGGAGAAUGAGCUGGAAAACAGAUAAUCUGAGCAGAAAAGAGCUUACAGUUAUGAGUUGUUUGUAUACUCAUAUAUCACCUUCAUCUAUGUAUGAUUUUCCUCUGCUAAUUGAAUUUCUUUCUGUAAACUUGCAUUUUUUUUUUUUUUUUUUUUUUUUUUUUUGGCUGUGUCUGGGGCCAGGGAUCAAACAUGUGCUAUAGCAGGCAGUGACCUGAGCUAUAGCAGUGACAACACCAGAUCCUUAACCUACUAAGGCAUCAGGGAAGUCCUAUAAACUUGGAUUUAGAGUGCUGAUAAAAAAAAUUUUCUAAUCCCUGCCUAUCUGGAAAUGGAAGAAAAGAUAAU
rnacentral:lncRNA from 1 species